UUGAGGGAACCGGUCCGGUUCCCGGGUCCAAUUGUUGAGAACCGGUGAGAACCGGUCCGGUUCCCGGUUCCGUGGGCGGAUCCGCCCGCCCGCCCACCCGGACCGGACCGGUACUAUUUAUAAUUAAAAAAAAAAAAAAACAAAAGUCGCGAACGAAGCCCCCCGCCCCUAAUUCGCAAAGCCCUAAUCGCGUUUCUUCUUCUUCAACCUCCGACUCUCUCUGUAACUUCCUUUCCUUCUCUUCAUCUUCGAUUCCACGGUCCCAUCGGGUUUCCUUCUCUUCGUCUUCGAUUCCACGGUCCCAUGGUCCACCCGAGUAUCCACGCCGCCGCCGCUGCUCCUCCUCCGCCACUGUCCGCCCCCGUCGCGCCGGUCACCACUCGCCAGUGGCCAACCGCUGCUCCUCCGCCUCUGCAAGAACACUUGACCGAGCCGGCGAGCCCCUUUUCUGUCACUCAACAAGGUAAGAAGCCCUAAUUUGCUUCUCAUCUCUUGAUUCUCUUCCGAUUUCUUCCUCAGUUUUUGAUUAUCUCUCUGUUUCUUCCUCAAUCUCUUCUCCUCGUCUUCGAUUCCUCACCAAGCAUUCACGCCGCCGCCGCUGCUCCUCCUCCGCCACUGUCCGCCCCCGUCGCGCCUUUAGUCUCUCUCUCUCUCUCUCUUCGCGCGGGAGUGCGUGGGUGGGAUGCGAAGGAUCUUGAUCAGAUGGAAUAAAGUGAAAAGAAAGAAAAAAUUUACGUUUUCAUGUUCGUAGUGUGGGUAUACGGGCUUUAUCUUGGCAAAGGUUUUAUCUUUUUGAGUUUUGGGUAUGUGGGUUGCCACUGAUCUUGGAAUUUUAGAGCUCAAAACUUCCGGACCGGCGGUCCGGGAAACCAAAAUUGUUUCGCUCUUGAAAAUCAGAAUUUUUGGCGUCAAAAUCGGUUCCAUGGAUCCACCCGGGAACCGGACCGGACCGGCGGUCCGGUUCCCGGGUGGAUCCACCCAACAAACGGGUGGAUCCCAGUUCCAAUUUUUCGGAACCGGUCCUUAGCGGGCGGUUCCCGGUUCUAGGUCGGGA
rnacentral:lncRNA from 1 species